AGUUUAUCCUGCUGGCGGAUGCGGCUAUCUGGCUUAUACUUAGACAUGCAAGUUUUUCACGCAAGAGAAGUCGAACUGCUCAGUAACACGUAGCUAACCUACCCUAUGGUUAAGGAUAAUCUCGGGAAACUGAGGAUAAAACUUAAUAGAAAAUUGUUUCUGUAAUGAGCUUUUUUUAGAAAACUUUUAGUGCCUUAGGAUGGGGCUGCGGCUGAUUAGGUAGUUGUUGGUGUAAAGGACUAACAAGCCGAUGAUCAGUAAGGGCUCUUAGCGGAGAAGCCCUGAGAAGGAAUCUGAGACACUAUUCCUAGCUCUACGGGGUGCAGCAGUUGAGGAACUUUUACAAUGCUCGAAAGAGUGAUAAAAUGAGCCAGAGUGUUCAGUUUUACUGAACUUUUGUCUACUGUAAAAAGGUAGACGAAUAAGGACUGGGCAAGACCGGUGCCAGCCGCCGCGGUAAUACCGGCGGUCCAAGUCGCAUCCACAUUUAUUGGGUCUAAAACAUCCGUAGCUUGUUUAGUAAGUCUCUUGUGAAAUCUCAUGUCUCAAGCAUGAAACGUGCAAGAGAUACUGCUUAACUAGAGACCGGAAGACGUAAGGAGUACGAUAAAGGUAGCGGUAAAAUGUGUUAAUCUUUAUCGGACUAACAAUGGCGAAGGCACCUUACGAGUACGGAUCUGACAGUGAGGGAUGAAGGCUAGGGGCGCAAAAGGGAUUAGAUACCCCUGUAGUCCUAGCAGUAAACGCUGCUCACUAAACAUCAGUACCUCCUAGAGAGGUAUUGGUGCUGUAGGGAAGCCGAAGAGUGAGCUACCUGGGAAGUAUAGUCGCAAGGCCGAAACUUAAAGGAAUUGGCGGGGAGGCACUACAACCGGUGACGCGUGCGGUUUAAUCAGACUCUACACCGUGAAUCUCACCAGGAGCGACAGCAGAAUGAAGGUCAGUCUAAAGGGCUUACCUGACACGCUGAGAGGAGUUGCAUGGCCGACAUAAGCCUGUGCCGUGAGGUGACUUGUUAAAUCAAGUAACAGGCGAGACCCUUGUGUCUAAUUUCUACGAAAGAGCACAUUAGACAGACUGCCUUGGUAACAAGGAGGAAGGUGGGGGCGAUGUUAGGUGAGUACAGCCCGAACCCCCUGGGCAACACGCGCGCGGCAAUGUUACAUUCAAUGAGAUGCGACUCUGAAAAGAGAAGCUAAUCUCCUAAAGUGUAGCUUAGUACAGAUUGAGGUUUGUAACUCAACCUCAUGACGAUGGAAUCGGUAGUAAUCGUUUGUUAUCAACGAACGGUGAAUACGUCACGGCCUCUUGCACACACUGCCCGUCAAACCAACCGAGUUAUGCUCUGGCGAGGCUUUUCGGAGACGAACCUCGGUAUGACAAGGUAGGUUAAGUCGGCACAAGGUA
rnacentral:rRNA from 1 species